rnacentral:lncRNA from 10 species
CUGAAUAAAAAAGAUUCCACUUCAGAAUGUAGGUGGGCCUCAUCCAAUACUUGAGGCCUGAAUAGAAUAAAAGGCUGUCUAAAAAAGAAUUAUUUCUCUCUGCCUGACUGUCUUCAAGCAGGGACAUUGUUCUUCUCUUGCCUUUAUACUUCGACUUGGACUGGAACUUACACCAUUAGCUCUCCUGAUUCUCAGGCUAUCAGAUUUGAACUGCAACUCUACCAUCUGCUCUCCUGGUCUCCAGAUUACUGGAUGAAGAUCUUGGAUUUCUCAGCCUUCAUAAUUGCAUGAAUGAAGAAAGCAACGUGGUAAUAAUUGAGGCUACAGAGAAUUCACUGGCAUUAAUGCUGAUCAAACAAGCAAAAGAAAUCUGUGAUUGAAACAUACUGCGACCAAUUUUCCAAUUUUGUCAACUCACCAAGCAACAAAUCUUAUACAACACCUGGUGACCUGUAUAAAUAACUAUUCUUCUGGGGCGGAAGAAACUUGGCAUUUUUUUGAAACAUAGUCUUACUAUGUUUUCCAGGCUGAUCUUGAACUCCUGGGCUCAAGCAAUCCUCCUACCCCAGCCUUCAGAGUAGUUGGGAUUACAAUCUAAACUUCAAACAAAUAGAGACCAAGAUAAUUAGCUUCCUAGCUCUGACAACAGGACAUGAGAAAUGUGAUGUAAUAUGAAAUUGGAACAUGCAAGUAGAGAAGAAGAACAAGAACCGUAAAAGGAGAAGAAGAAAAUUUUGGCCAGUGACAUAUCAACCUAAUGUACAAUACUUUAAGUGUUUUAAGUAUUCUAAUAAAGGAGAAUUUCCUAUUGAUACUAGACUUCUACAAUAAUUAUAACUUAGUAUAUACCUGAUUUGCUUAAUAUUUGUGUCAUGCCCAGCCAUAUAAAAUUGUUGCAUUUUUCUAUUUCAUGAUCUUGUUUAUUUGUUACUGUUAUGCUUUCCCCAGCUACUAUGUAAAUCCCUUAAGAACUGUGUCAGUUUAUCAUUUCUGAAUCCUUAAUACCCAAAAGAGUGUUUAGCAAUAAGAAGCACUCACUGAAUAUUGAUGAGUGACUGCAUUAGUAUAUGUAUUAAAUUUGAGAUGAAACACAAACUUAACAUUCUAUUUUCAUUUUGAGCAUCAAAUACAGGGUACUUACUAUAUGCAAUGCACUGUGAUAGGUGCUUCAAAAAUAUUCUAUAAAUCCUCAUAACAGUCCAUGUUAGUGAUAAAUACAAUGAGAUUAAGAGGUGAAGUGGCAUGCCUGAAAACAUAAAGUACAUCAAAGAGAUCUGUGUAAAGUCAAAUCUGUAUGUACA